rnacentral:rRNA from 1 species
UACGAAGGGGGCAAGCGUUGUUCGGAAUUACUGGGCGUAAAGAGCGUGUAGGCGGCUUUAUAAGUUAGGUGUGAAAUCCCUCGGCUUAACCGAGGAAUGGCACUUAAGACUGUAGAGCUAGAGUGCGAAAGGGAGAGGUAGAAUGGCGAGUGGAGCAGUGAAAUGCGUUGAGAUUCGUUGGAAUACCAGAGGCGAAGGCGACCUCUUGGUUCGUAACUGACGCUAAGGCGCGAAAGCGUGGGGAGCAAACAGG